AACAGUGCAUUUAUGACUGCAAGGGAUUCUGGGUAGGCAUAUGCAAAUGAGCUCAACAAAGAACCACAUUUUUGCCUCAUAAUUCCACUUUAUACAUGGAUUCCUUGGAGUAUGUGUCUGCUGCAUACAACAGCUUUGAAACACAACUCAGGAAGAGGAGUAAAGCCAGUGAACCACUCAUGGACAGCUGUUUCGUUGUUAAUGCAACUCGUCAGCAUGAGGUUGGUUACU